UACGAAGGGGGCUAGCGUUGCUCGGAAUCACUGGGCGUAAAGCGCACGUAGGCGGAUUGUUAAGUCAGGGGUGAAAUCCUGGAGCUCAACUCCGGGGCUGCAGGUGAGACUGCAUGGCUAGAGCUUGGUAGAGACGAGUGGAAUUCCCGGUGUAGCGGUGGAAUGCGUAGAUAUCGGGAAGAACACCAGUGGCGAAGGCGGCUCACUGGCCCGAUACUGACGCUGAGGCACGAAAGCGUGGGGAGCAAACAGG
rnacentral:rRNA from 1 species